CCAUGUGUCCGGCUCGGCUUGCACAGAGCCCAACACCCUGUUCUGAGCAGCAGGGGCAACCAACUUGUGAUUGAAAUAUGAGCCGUGGUUGACUGGAAUUCCUGUUUUAUCUGCACACUCUUUGUUCCUGUGUCCUGCCUGCCAUCUGCAACCACAGCUGCCAAAGCUUACACCACAUGGUAUAACCACUUGGAGACUAGUGGUCUCUUCCCUGAUCGUAGGCUAGUUCAGUGAUACUCAGACUGAGGCUCCCGAGAUGCAAGUGGCUCUUUAAUGUGUCUCCUGCGGCUGUUUGCAGCACAUGAUAGUAAAACACUGUGUGAUUUAAUUAUUAACCAAUCAGGAUGCUUUUACUAUGCUAUUAACCAAUUGUA